GGCACUGACUCCAUGGCUCAGAGGAGGGAAAUCCAGGGAAGGGCUGAAUGCUCUGUGUUUCAGGUUUCAGGGAGAGAUAGAAUGGACAGCUGGGCAAACACACACCCAGGGACUCCUUUCUCCAAGACGGAUGGACAUUGGGGGUGGCAGAGGAAAUACCAGCAUGGAACAACAUCCCAGGGACCUGCGUCCUCCCCAGGUUAAACUCCUGGGUCCUUGCAUGGCUGCGUGUCUUCUGCAGGCCACAUCUCCUCAGGACUCCCCUACUCAUCACUUUCCCAUUGCUAUGGAAGAGGGGUGUCAGGGUGGCACCUGCCUCCUUGUUUGUAUGUUCAGGUGCAUGGCUACCAGAGGAAAAGCCACUCCCAACCUUUGUCGACAAUCAUCCCGUUUCUGGGUUUCUGGAAAAGUCUGGGAAGCUGCUCUGUUGUAGAGGCUGAAAGGAGGGUUGGUGAGAGCCCCCAGCUCCAAACCAGCCCUGCCCCUUACCCUUCCUCACCCCUCUACCUUCACUCUCCUCCUAACACUCCAGGGUUUUGUUUUUUUGUUUGUUUUUUGCCUUUCUCACCCCAGGGCUCCUGCCUCUCCAGCCUGGAGACAGAUUUGAUUUGGGAUUGUUACAAAAAUAAUAAUAACCCAAAUGCAGAGAAGCCACGGAAAGGGCUGAGGGCAACCCUCCCCUCCCCCCCGCCCUCCUCCCUCCCCAUUCCAAACCGAGUACAAAACCGCACCCAAAGCAGACAUUCUGUACAGGGGGGUGGGUGGGCUGGGGAGCAAGCGGGAGGGGCGGCCCUGGGGUCGCUCUAUACAAGUCCAGGUUGGUGAUAGCCCCAGCAGUCCCCACGGGGCCCCUGGGGGGGCGCAGGAAGUGGGCAGGCGCCCCUAGAUGAAAUAUUCCUUCUUGUCGUCCCCUCCCGACUGCCCGCCUUCUGCAUUGAUGAUGGCCGUGUCCGCAUCUGGGGCAUCGUCGGAGCCUUUCGCCUCAUGUGUCAGUAAUGUCCAAGGAAGAUGAGCAUGAUGAGCAGCAGGAAGACAAUGAAAGCCACGAUCCCGCCGAUGAUGGCGUGUCAGGCCCACUUAAGGAUACUCCUGGAAGAAGAUGCAGUAGCUCCCUCUACCACCAGGUGUCAGCACUGGAAACAGACGCAGUUCAACAGGACUCCCUCUGCCUGGCUGUUGAGCACAGGGCAGAGGGGAGAUCAGCAAGAUACCAACCACAAGGGCACAAGAACUUUCUCUCACUGCCAAUCAUCAUCAGAUUGGUCUGGAGAGAUCUGGGGGCAGAGACCGGAGCUCAGUGCAUUGUCCUUGCUCUUGGCAUCCUACAAUAGCCUUGUUGUGCUGAGGCAGCUCCCACAUGCUGAGGUCUGCCCCUGGAGUGGGAAUCACCCAUCUAGACAUUCUGAUCUCAAGAACUCAAACCUCUUAUCGCUGGAAGGCCUGACUUUUAUGCCCCCCAACUGUUUUAAUGAGUGUUUCAAGUAAGGGAGCCUCUGACAGUUCCCUGACAAUGCAUUUCCCCUAUUCUGAGAAAAGAUUUACAAGACUUUCUGGUGGGACACACAGCCACUGGGAUCUUCAAAAAAAUCCCCCGUCAACUCUCCAUAAAGGGGCCUCUGUGCCACCCUACCACAACUCCUGAAGCUGGGUUUUGUGGUCACAGCUUUGAGAAGAACUUCAGAGAAGGAGCAUCACCUGGUCCUUCUAGAAGAUACAGCAUCUGAGAAAAGAUUCUGUCUCUUGGCAUAGUACAAGCUUCUCUCUAUUUUCUGUCCAGACCCAGUACAGUGUGCUUAAGGUGGGCAGAAAAAAAAAUGACAGCAGUUGCAUGCACCCAAUACCUAAUCUUAGGAGAAGCAGCUCUGAGAAGAGCCAGUUAGAGAAGGAAAUGCACCUGCGCCUGCACUUGACAGGCUUUGGGGCCUCUGGACACAGAAUUAUUGUUCUUGUUGUCAGACAAGUGCAGGGGAUGGAAGAUGGUGUCACCCAGGCCACCACUACCAAAGAAAGGCAGACGAGAGCCCACCCUUUUAAUGUUUUUUCACUAAGCGGCCAUUUCACAUUCUAGAGUGGACCUGGGACCUAAGCCCUCAGGGACCCCAGUGGUGGGCUGGUUUUCCUUUACUCCACUACCCGUCACAGUUUGGGGAUGUUAUCAGGAAGUAUUUUAAAAGGGAAUACGAUGGACAGAGAAAGGAGAUUCUGGAGGAAGAGAACUGAGGAGGGCUCACCAUUAACGUUGAGAGUGUAGUAGGCCUUGUAGCUGCCCAUGUUGCUGGUGGCCGUGCAGCCGUAGGUGCCGCUGUCACUCUUGUUGAGGAAGGGGAAGAUCAGGGCACUCUCUUGGGUCAUCUUCAGGGGUGGCACACUGCCCUCCUUCUCCCAUAGGUACUGCUGGGGGCUGUCGAGGCAGACAAAUCAGAAGAGCUCAGGAGAGCAUAGGCCAGGGAGCUAAAAGAAAAAAAAAAAAUAACUGGGAGCAGGGAUGUCAAGGACUGUUUGAUGAGGCUGGAGAAAUUAUCAGGGCCAGAGACAUUGGAGCUGCUAUACUCCAGGUGGCCUCUUGGGGUUCGUUCUGGGGAAGCUGGAGACCUCCUGACUUGUAUCUUACUUUAACUUGGCCUUUGUAGGAAACUCAGGGACUGAGCUAGGGAGUGGCCCCUUCCAACUUGUGCUGCUUUGCAGAAGAACUAAUUGCAGGCGGACAUUAUUGGACAGUCAGGGAAAUGAGAGGCUCAGGUCAGACAAUAGAGAGGAGAUAGGAAGGAGCUGUUAUGUGAAGAAGACAAUCUGAGAAUGUGGAGAGUAAGGAGGAGACCAGGAAAUGGAUCUUCUUACACUGGAUUGCCACGACCCUCACAGUGUAGCAACAGCUUCUGGCCCUCACGAGGAUGGGGAGGGUCUGGCCUAAUCAUCGCAGUCGGUGUGUCUGUGGAGAAGGAAAUGGUGUCAAUGAAAACCUCCCCACACAGCUUAGGUGAUUCCCUCGCUUAGUUGCACACUACAGCUUCUACCUCUAAAUGUUUUCGCAGCCCAAGAAGCACCACAAAGACCUUCCUUCUCCUAAUUCUUAUGAACGAGGACCAUUAUUGCUAUUGAAGAUGUGAGCAACUUCUCUUGCAACCUUGUGUGAUAGGAUUCUGGAAGGUCUGUCCUUGUUGGGACUCUAAGAGAUGCCUUAACAGAAAGCUGAGAAGGGAAAUGAGUGGUUUGCCUGUGCCUAGCAAACUUCCUAGCACAUAGGAAGGACCUAAUACAUAUUUUUUACAGAACAAAUAAACUUGAACUUGCCACGUAUUGAGCUUACAA